rnacentral:rRNA from 1 species
CCUACGGGUGGCAGCAGUGAGGAAUAUUGGUCAAUGGGCUUGCGCCUGAACCAGCCAAGUAGCGUGAAGGAUGACUGCCCUACGGGUUGUAAACUUCUUUUAUAAAGGAGUAAAGUGAGGCACGUGUGGCUUUUUGUAUGUAAUUUAUGCAUAAGGAUCGGCUAACUCCGUGCCCGCAGACGCGGUAAUACGGAGGAUGCGAGCGUUCUCCGGAUUUAUUGGGUUUAAAGGGUGCGCAGGCGGAAUGUCAAGUCAGCGGUAAAAUUUCGGGGCUCAACCCCGUCGGGCCGUUGAAACUGGCGUUCUUGAGUGAGCGAGAAGUAUGCGGAAGGCGUGGUGUAGCGGUGAAAUGCAUAGAUAUCACGCAGAACUCCGAUUGCGAAGGCAGCAUACCGGCGCUCAACUGACGCUCAUGCACGAAAGCGUGGGUAUCGAACAGGAUUAGAUACCCGGGUAGUC